UAAUACAUGCAAGUCGAGCGAAGUUUUUCUGGUGCUUGCACUAGAAAAACUUAGCGGCGAACGGGUGAGUAACACGUAAAGAACCUGCCUCAUAGACGGGGACAACUAUUGGAAACGAUAGCUAAUACCGGAUAACAGCAUAAAUCGCAUGAUAUAUGUUUAAAAGUUGGUUUCGGCUAACACUAUGAGAUGGCUUUGCGGUGCAUUAGCUAGUUGGUGGGGUAAAGGCCUACCAAGGCGACGAUGCAUAGCCGACCUGAGAGGGUGAUCGGCCACACUGGGACUGAGACACGGCCCAGACUCCUACGGGAGGCAGCAGUAGGGAAUCUUCCGCAAUGGGCGAAAGCCUGACGGAGCAACGCCGCGUGAGUGAAGAAGGAUUUCGGUUCGUAAAGCUCUGUUGUUAGGGAAGAAUGAUUGUAUAGUAACUAUAUACAGUAGAGACGGUACCUAACCAGAAAGCCACGGCUAACUACGUGCCAGCAGCCGCGGU
rnacentral:rRNA from 2 species